rnacentral:rRNA from 1 species
CCUACGGGGGGCAGCAGUGAGGAAUAUUGGUCAAUGGACGAGAGUCUGAACCAGCCAAGUAGCGUGAAGGAUGACUGCCCUAUGGGUUGUAAACUGCUUUUAUAUGGGAGUAAAGUGUUCCACGUGUGGGGUUUUGUAUGUACCAUAUGAAUAAGGAUCGGCUAACUCCGUGCCAGCAGCCGCGGUAAUACGGAGGGUCCGAGCGUUAUCCGGAUUUAUUGGGUUUAAAGGGAGCGUAGGUGGAUUGUUAAGGCAGUUGUGAAAGUUUGGGGCUCAACCGUAAAAUUGCAGUUGAAACUGGCAGUCUUGAGUACAGGAGAGGUGGGCGGAAUUCGUGGUGUAGCGGUGAAAUGCUUAGAUAUGACGAAGAACUCCGAUUGCGAAGGCAGCUCACUGGACUGCAACUGACACUGAGGCUCGAAAGUGUGGGUAUCAAACAGGAUUAGAUACCCUGGUAGUC